UACGUAGGGUGCGAGCGUUGCCCGGAUUUAUUGGGCGUAAAGGGCGCGUAGGCGGUCACGCACGUCCGUUGUGAAAUCGCUCGGCUCAACUGGGCGGGGUCAGCGGAUACGGCGUGGCUGGAGCAAGCUAGGGGGCAAUGGAAUUCCCGGUGUAGUGGUGGAAUGCGUAGAUAUCGGGAGGAACACCAGUGGCGAAGGCGGUUGCCUGGAGCUUUGCUGACGCUGAUGCGCGAAAGCGUGGGGAGCGAUCGG
rnacentral:rRNA from 1 species